AUAAACCCUAACCAUGCAACCCAUGCAAAAACCAUGCAAAACUCACUUAAAACCCUUCAAAACAUACGUAAAACAUCAAGAAAGAUGAGGAUCCAUGCUUAACUCUUGAAGAUCGAGAGGAUUGAUGGUCUAAACUCGGAGAUGCAAGAGAAAACAGAUCUAGAACCUCCAAGCCUCACAACUUUGCUUCUUUGCUCAAAAACCUUAAAACUAACAUGAAAACUAGUUAAAACUUACUCAACUUUGAAGAAAACAAAGAAAUCCACCAAAGGAGGUCAAGAACUCACCUAUACCCGAAAAGAGAGAGAAAACUCACCUCAAAUCCGGAUAAGGGGCCCUUUUAUAGGUGGCCGGUCAACCACUUUCGGCAGCCAGAGCUGCCUUCACAGCUCCACCACUUUCGGAAGCCGAACUUGGCCUUCGGUGGCAACAAAAACAAGCCACCUUCGGCGGCCGAAAGUGAGGUUCGGCGGCCGAAAGUGAGGUUCGGCGGCCGAAAGUGAGGUUCGGCGGCCAAACCUUAUAUUUCCCUUCUUGGUCUUUUCUUUUCAAAACUUCAACUUUUCUUACUCAAAACACUUAAAAACAUUCAAAACAUUUUAGAAACCUUUAUUUUACCCUUCUAGGAAACUCC
rnacentral:lncRNA from 1 species